rnacentral:rRNA from 1 species
GGAUAUAAGAUACNCAAGAUGAGAAGACCCUUUGGAGCUUAAGGUACAAGCUUACCCAUGUUAGAUGACUUUAUAAGAAGCAAGAACUUAGUGGCAAUAAGACUUUACCUUCGGUUGGGGCUACCAUGGAGGAGAAACAAGCCUCCUAGUGUUCCGGGCCAAACCCCCUUGCCUAAAGUCAAGAGACACAUCUCUAUGCCGCAGGGCAUCUGACCAUCAAUGAUCCUGACUAUAAAGUCGACCAACGGACCAAGCUACCCAAGGGAUAACUGCGCAAUCCCCUCCCAGAGACCAUAUNUACCACUGAGUUUACGACCUCAAUGUUGGAUCACGACAUCCUAAUGGUGCACUGCGCUAUUAUGGACCUCCUAUGACUCACGAUAAAAGCCCUACGUGAUCUGAGUUC